GACAGAGGAUGCAAGCGUUAUCCGGAAUGAUUGGGCGUAAAGCGUCUGUAGGUGGCUUUUUAAGUCCGCCGUCAAAUCCCAGGGCUCAACCCUGGACAGGCGGUGGAAACUACCAAGCUGGAGUACGGUAGGGGCAGAGGGAAUUUCCGGGUGGAGCGGUGAAAUGCGUAGAGGAUCGGAAAGAACACCAACGGCGAAAAGCACUCUGCUGGGGCCGACACUGACACUGAGAGACGAAAGCUAGGGGGAGCGAAAUGGG
rnacentral:rRNA from 1 species